UACAGAGGUGGCAAGCGUUGUUCGGAAUUACUGGGCGUAAAGGGCGCGUAGGCGGCCUUCUAAGUCAGACGUGAAAUCCCCAGGCUUAACCCCGGGCCUGCAGUGGGUACGGGCAGACUAGAGUGCGGUAGGGGAGACUGGAAUUCCUGGUGUAGCGGUGAAAUGCGCAGAUAUCAGGAGGAACACCGGUGGCGAAGGCGGGUCUCUGGGCCGUAACUGACGCUGAGGAGCGAAAGCGUGGGGAGCGAACAGG
rnacentral:rRNA from 1 species